GUCGAGAGUCUUAGGGACUCGGCGUACCGCUCAGUAACACGUGGGUAACCUGCCCUGUGCUGGGGAAUAACCUCGGGAAACUGAAAAUAAUGCCCCAUAGUUCACUACGCCUGGAACGGUGGGUGGAUCAAAGCUCCGGCGGCACAGGAUGGGCCUGCGGCGUAUCAGGUCGUAGGGGGUGUAAAGUACCCUCUAGCCUUCAACGCGUACGGGUUGUGGGAGCAAUCGCCCGGAGAUGGAUUCUGAGACACGAAUCCAGACCCUACGGGGUGCAGCAGGCGCGAAAACUUCACACUGCAGGAAACUGUGAUGAGGGAAUUCCAAGUGGUGACACAUAAGUGUCAUCUUUUGCCAACUUUUAAUCGGUUGGACAUAAAGGGGUGGGAAAGACCGGUGCCAGCCGCCGCGGUAAUACCGGCACCUCAAGUGGUCGUCGCUUUUAUUGGGCCUAAAACGUCCGUCGCCUGUUUGGUACAUUCGUGGGUAAAUCAAGCCGCUUAACGGCUUGAAUUCUGCGAGGACGGCCAGACUAGGGACCGGGAGAGGUAUGGGGUACUCUCAGGGUAGGGGUAAAAUCCAGUCAUCCUGAGGGGACCACCUGUUGCGAAGGCGCCAUACUAGAACGGAUCCGACGGUCAGGGACGAAGCCUAGGGGCACGAACCGGAUUAGAUACCCGGGUAGUCCUAGGUGUAAACGCUGUGGACUUGGUGUUGGGGAUUCUACGAGUAUCCCCAGUGCCGGAGUGAAGAUGUUAAGUCCACUGCCUGGGGA
rnacentral:rRNA from 1 species